GACGAACGCUGGCGGCGUGCCUAAUACAUGCAAGUCGAGCGGACAGAAGGGAGCUUGCUCCCGGAAGUUAGCGGCGGACGGGUGAGUAACACGUGGGCAACCUACCCUGUAGAUCGGGAUAACAUCGAGAAAUCGGUGCUAAUACCGGAUAAUCAUUUGAAGUGCAUGCUUCGAAUGUAAAAGAUGGCUCCGGCUAUCACUACGGGAUGGGCCCGCGGCGCAUUAGCUAGUUGGUAAGGUAAUGGCUUACCAAGGCAACGAUGCGUAGCCGACCUUGGUAGUGGAUCGGCCACACUGGGAGUGAGACACGGCCCAGACUCCUACGGGAGGCAGCAGUAGGAAAUCUUCCGCAAUGGACGAAAGUCUGACGGAGCAACGCCGCGUGAGUGAUGAAGGUUUUCGGAUCGUAAAGCUCUGUUGUUAGGGAAGAACAAGUGCCGUUUGAAUAAGGCGGCACCUUGACGGUACCUAACCAGAAAGCCACGGCUAACUACGUGCCAGCCGCCGCCGUAACAC
rnacentral:rRNA from 1 species